AGGAGGAACAAUCCCAGUGGCUGCGGCAGCUCUGGAAACCUGGAUUCAGCUCCUGCAGGAACUACUCCGUCUGCAGGGCCUGAAGGCUCCGGGGCGGG
rnacentral:pre_miRNA from 1 species